AGUCUGGUGCCAGCAGCCGCGGUAAUUCCAGUUUCACGAGUGUAUAUUUAUGUUGUUGCAGUUAAAAAGCUCGUAGUUGAACUUCUGUUUGUUCAGUCUGUAAGCGAUUACUGAUUGGAUGAACAUCCGCCUGAAAAAUCAUUCGGGUCUUCACUGAUUCAGUGAUAUCAGGCAUUUUACUUUGAAAAAUUAGAGUGUUCAAAGCAGGCUUCGCCUGAAUACAUUAGCAUGGAAUAAUAGAAUAGGACGCUGUUCAAUUUGUUGGUUAUUGGAUUGCGUAAUGAUUAAUAGGGACAGUUGGGGGCAUUUGUAUUUAUUGUCAGAGGUGAAAUUCUUGGAUUUAUUAAAGACAAACUUAUGCGAAAGCAUUUGCCAAGGAUGUUUUCAUUAAUCAAGAACGAAAGUUAGAGGAUCAGAGACGAUCAGAUACCGUCCUAGUUUUAACUAUAAACUAUGCCGACUCGGUCUCAGUCAAGCCUUCCUAACUUGAUUGGUGCCGUAUGAGAAAUCGAAGUCUUUGGGUUCCGGGGGGAGUAUGGUCGCAAGGUUGAAACUUAAAGGAAUAGACGGAACAUCACUACCAGGUGUGGAUCCUGCGGCUUAAUUUGACACAACACGGGGAAACUUACCAGCGCAAAACAAGGGUGGAUUGACAGAUUGAGAGCUCUUUCUUGAUUCUUUGGAUAGUGGUGCAUGGCCGUUCUUAGUUGGUGGAGUGAUUUGUCUGCUUAAUUGCGUUAACGAACGAGACCUCAACCUACUUACUAGACGCUUGAUUUAUUCAUCGAGUGCUCUUCUUAGAGGGACUGUGCGGAGACAAACGCAAGGAAGUUUGAGGCAAUAACAGAUCUGUGAUGCCCUUAGAUACGCUGGGCCGCACGCGGGAUACAAUGACCCGUUCAGAAAGUACUACCUGACCCGGAAGGGAGUGGGUAAUCUUUUUAAUGCGGGUCGUGCUAGGGAUAGAUCUUUGCAAUUAUAGAUCUUGAACGAGGAAUACCUAGUAAGUGCAAGUCAUCAGCUUGUACUGAUUACGUCCCUGGUGUCUGUACUCACCGCCCGUCGCUCCUACCAAUUUCGAAUGAUCCGGUGAACCUUUUGGAUUGGGUUAUCCCAAGAAGUUAAGUAAACCUUAGCAUUUAGAGGAAGGAGAAGUC
rnacentral:rRNA from 1 species